GACGAACGCUGGCGGCGUGCUUAACACAUGCAAGUCGAACGGAAAGGCCUCUUUCGGGGGGUACUCGAGUGGCGAACGGGUGAGUAACACGUGAGUAACCUGCCCUUGACUUUGGGAUAACUUCAGGAAACUGGGGCUAAUACCGGAUAGGAGCUCCUGCUGCAUGGUGGGGGUUGGAAAGUUUCGGCGGUUGGGGAUGGACUCGCGGCUUAUCAGCUUGUUGGUGGGGUAGUGGCUUACCAAGGCUUUGACGGGUAGCCGGCCUGAGAGGGUGACCGGCCACAUUGGGACUGAGAUACGGCCCAGACUCCUACGGGAGGCAGCAGGGGGGAAUAUUGCACAAUGGGUGGAAGCCUGAUGCAGCAACGCCGUGUGCGGGAUGACGGCCUUCGGGUUGUAAACCGCGUUCGACCAUGACGAAGCUUUGUGUGACGGUAGUGGGUAAAGAAGCACCGGCUAACUACGUG
rnacentral:rRNA from 1 species